rnacentral:misc_RNA from 1 species
ACCUGCUAACUCCCUUGUGGGAGACAUUAUGAUGCAUCCAACACCGUCCUCUGGUCCCCAUCGAGCUUUAUACAAUUUCUCUAGCACCGGAAUAACAAAAGCCAAAGUCUUUCCAGAACCAGUUUUCGCCGCACCAAGAAUAUCACGGCCGCAAAGAGAGUGUGGCAGAGAAGCCCUUUGAAUAUCGGUCAUAGUUUUGUAUUUGCACUGAGUUAACCCAUCUUUAGUUUUCUUAGAAACCGGCAACUGACUGAACCUAUCACAACCAGCAUACCUAGAGAAUGAACCAUCCGGAAGACGUCCAACCGGAGCUUUAUGUGGUAAUGGCUCAAGCGACAACGGAUUUGAACCGGAUUCCGGUUUACCUGAUUCUAUCCAUUCCUCCAGAAGCUCAAUUUCAUGAACCUCUGAUAACCGAUUCUGUAUUUUAACUUUCCGUGACUUAGGUGCAUGCUUUCCCAUACCUUUUGCAAUCGCUUAUUGAUGGAAGUGUCCCGCCG